UACGAAGGGGGCUAGCGUUGUUCGGAAUCACUGGGCGUAAAGGGUGCGUAGGCGGAUUCUUAAGUCAGGGGUGAAAUCCCGAGGCUCAACCUCGGAACUGCCUUUGAUACUGGGGAUCUUGAGUCCGGAAGAGGUGAGUGGAACUGCGAGUGUAGAGGUGAAAUUCGUAGAUAUUCGCAAGAACACCGGUGGCGAAGGCGGCUCACUGUCCGGAACUGACGCUGAGGCACGACAGCGUGGGAGCAAACAGG
rnacentral:rRNA from 1 species